UACGGGGGGGGCAAGCGUUGUUCGGAAUUACUGGGCGUAAAGGGCGCGUAGGCGGGAUGGCAAGUCGGUCGUGAAAUCCCUCGGCUCAACUGAGGAGCGUCGAUCGAAACUGCCGUUCUUGAGGGUUGCAGAGGAGACUGGAAUUCCCGGUGUAGCGGUGAAAUGUGUAGAGAUCGGGAGGAACACCGGUGGCGAAGGCGGGUCUCUGGGCAACUCCUGACGCUGAGGCGCGAAAGCGUGGGGAGCAAACGGG
rnacentral:rRNA from 1 species